GAGGGUAUAGCUCAGUGGUAAAGUGCAUGCUUAGCAUGCACAAGGUCCUGGGUUCAAUCCCCAGUACCUCCA
rnacentral:tRNA from 1 species